rnacentral:rRNA from 1 species
CCCUUUGAUACUCUGGGCGGUACGCGCGCUACACUGGUUUAUAUAACGUGUAAUUUGGACGCUAGUCUGUAUAAAUCACUAAUAUAAAACCGUGAAUGGGAUAGUUUAUUGCAACUUACAAACUUUAACUAGGAAUCCCUUGUAGAAGUAGUGAAUUAUACUGCUUCGAAUACGUCCCUGCCGAUUGUACACACCGCCCGUCGUUUCUUCCGACUGGUACUCAUUGUGAAUUGCGAGGAGAUUCUGUCAAAUCGUUGUAAAUGCUGGGUAUUGGAGGAAGAAAAAGUCGUAACA